CCGCACAUUAAGUCAGGCUUGUAAUCUUACUGUGACUGAUAUCUGAAAACAAGCAGGCUGUUGAGGAAGUGAGUUGCAGUGUCUGUCAGGAGAAUUUUGCACCACCUGUAAAUUUUAUGGACAUGCAGAUACCUAACAGCUGUUUGAAGCGUGGACCUGCAGUGGCAUCACCAUCAC